rnacentral:rRNA from 1 species
AUUGAACGCUGGCGGCAUGCCUUACACAUGCAAGUCGAACGGUAACGGGCCUUCGGGUGCCGACGAGUGGCGAACGGGUGAGUAAUACAUCGGAACGUGCCCGAUCGUGGGGGAUAACGAGGCGAAAGCUUUGCUAAUACCGCAUACGAUCUACGGAUGAAAGCAGGGGACCGCAAGGCCUUGCGCGGACGGAGCGGCCGAUGGCAGAUUAGUUAGUUGGUGGGAUAAAAGCUUACCAAGCCGACGAUCUGUAGCUGGUCUGAGAGGAUGAUCAGCCACACUGGGACUGAGACACGGCCCAGACUCCUACGGGAGGCAGCAGUGGGGAAUUUUGGACAAUGGGCGCAAGCCUGAUCCAGCCAUGCCGCGUGCAGGAUGAAGGCCUUCGGGUUGUAAACUGCUUUUGUACGGAACGAAAAGCCUUCUUUUAAUACAGGAGGGUCAUGACGGUACCGUAAGAAUAAGCACCGGCUAACUACGUG